rnacentral:misc_RNA from 1 species
GUGAGUCAUCGAAUCUUUGAACGCACAUUGCGCCCGCCAGCAUUCUGGCGGGCAUGCCUGUUCGAGCGUCAUUUCAACCCUCAGGCCCUGCCUGGCGUUGGAGGACUGCGCACGCAGCCUCCCAAAGCGAGCGGCGGCGGCGCCCCGAAACCGAACGCAGUAGUUUUCUCUCGUUCUGGGUCCGGGUCGUUGUCCUGCCGGAAAACCCCCAUCUAUUCAAUGGUUGACCUCGAAUCAGGUAGGAAUACCCGCUGAACUUAAGCAUAUCAAUAAGCGGAGGA